rnacentral:rRNA from 1 species
UACGGGGGGGGCAAGCGUUGUUCGGAAUUACUGGGCGUAAAGGGUUUGUAGGUGGCCCGCUAAGUCACACGUGAAAUCCCUCAGCUUAACUGGGGAACUGCGUGUGAGACUGGCAGGCUCGAGGGCAGGAGAGGAUAGUGGAAUUCCCAGUGUAGUGGUGAAAUACGUAGAGAUUGGGAAGAACACCAGUGGCGAAGGCGGCUAUCUGGACGGUUUCUGACGCUAAGACGCGAAAGCGUGGGGAGCAAACAGG